rnacentral:rRNA from 1 species
UACGUAGGGUGCGAGCGUUGUCCGGAAUUAUUGGGCGUAAAGAGCUCGUAGGCGGCUUGUCGCGUCGGAUGUGAAAGCCCCGGGGCUUAACUCCGGGUCUGCAUUCGAUACGGGCAGGCUAGAGUUCGGUAGGGGAGAUCGGAAUUCCUGGUGUAGCGGUGAAAUGCGCAGAUAUCAGGAAGAACACCCGUGGCUAAGGCGGUUCUCUGGGCAUUACCUGACGCUGAGGAGCGAAAGUGUGGGGAGCGAACAGG